AUUGAACGCUGGCGGUAGGCCUAACACAUGCAAGUCGAGCGGAUGAAGGGAGCUUGCUCCUGGCUUCAGCGGCGGACGGGUGAGUAAUGCCUAGGAAUCUCCCUGGUAGUGGGGGAUAACGUCCGGAAAUGGGCGCUAAUACCGCAUACGUCCUGCGGGAGUACGUGGGGGAUCUUCGGACCUCACGCUAUCACAUGAGCCUAGGUCGGAUUAGCUAGUUGGUGGGGUAAAGGCCUACCAAGGCGACGAUCCGUAACUGGUCUGCGAGGAUGAUCAGUCACACUGGAACUGAGACACGGUCCAGACUCCUACGGGAGGCAGCAGUGGGGAAUAUUGGACAAUGGGCGAAAGCCUGAUCCAGCCAUGCCGCGUGUGUGAAGAAGGUCUUCGGAUUGUAAAGCACUUUAAGUUGGGAGGAAGAGCAGUAGGUUAAUACCUUGCUGUUUUGACGUUACCAACAGAAUAAGCACCGGCUAACUUCGUG
rnacentral:rRNA from 1 species